GACGUGGGUGCUAGCCUCUAAGAUUUAGCCAUGCAUGCUUUGUGAACCCAGACGGGGGAACGGCGAACGGCUCAGUAAUGUUGCGGUGAUCUGCUCUGGUUGAGAAAGAUAACCACGGUAAACUGUGGCUAAGAGACCAGAAUGAGCUGCAACCCUAUCAGUUUGUUGGAAGUGCAAAGGACUCCCAAGACGUCGACGGGUAACGGGAAAUCAGUGUUUGAUUCCGGAGAGGGAGCCUGAGAGAUGGCUCCCACGUCCAAGGAUGGCAGCAGGCGCGAAAAUUGUCCACUCUUUAGGGAGGAGACAGUUAUGAGGCGUGAUUAAAAGAGCGAAAGUGUAAACACCUUCGUGUAACGCAAUUGGAGGGCAAGUUUUGGUGCCAGCAAGCCGCGGGUAAUUCCAACUCCAAGAGUGCCCAUGGUGGAUGCUGCAGUUAAAAAGUCCGUAGUCGUAGAUGCAAUUAAAGGGUGUGGAUCAAGCGCACUGAGUUUGUUGAGUUGUAGCGGAGCGGAUAAGGAAGCAUGGUAUAGGUUGGCGAAGAAUGAAAUCUCAAGACCCAACCUGGACCAAACUGAGGCGAAAGCGGUGCUCUUAUACGCAUCCGAGGAUCAAGGACGAAGGCUGGAGGAUCGAAAGUGAUUAGAUACCGCUGUAAGUUCCAGCAGUAAACUAUCCGGACAUUCUCUGUCCACGGACGGGGAAGGGAGAAAUCUUUAGUUUUCGGGCUCUGGGGAUAGUACGCUUGCAAGAGUGAAACUUAAAGCGAAAUUGACGGAAGGACACUACCAGGAGUGGAUUGUACUGCUUAAUUUGACUCAACGCGGGAAAACUUACCAGGGUCAAGUUCUCCGUAGAUCGAGUACGUGAGGGGAACGAGAGUGGUGCAUGGCCGUUGGAAAUUGAUGGGAUGACUUUUAGCUUAAAUGCUGAAACUAGUGAGAUCUUCUAGACAGGUGCCCAUCCGGCACAGGAGGGCGAAGGCGAUAACAGGUCCGUGAUGCCCUUAGAUAUCCUGGGCUGCAAGUGCAAUACAAUAUCCAUGUCGAUCAAGAAAGGUGAUUAUGGAUGAGCAGGAUUAGCUCUUGUAAAUGAGCUAUGAAUGAGGAAUUCCUAGUAACAGUGUCUCACUAAGGCAUUGUGAAUGCGUCCCUGUUCUUUGUACACACCGCCCGUCACUAUUUCAGAUGGCCAUGAAGAUGAAGAGCUUCGGUUCUGAAUAUUCAUGUCUAGAUAAAGUACAAGUCGUAACAAGGUUGC
rnacentral:rRNA from 1 species